AGCUUUCCGCAGUGGCAGUAUCGUAGCCAAUGAGGUUUAUCUGAGGCGUGAUUAUUGCUAAUUGAAAAAAUAGACCAUUUUU
rnacentral:snRNA from 1 species